rnacentral:rRNA from 1 species
UACGUAGGGUGCGAGCGUUGUCCGGAAUUAUUGGGCGUAAAGAGCUCGUAGGCGGCUUGUCGCGUCGGAUGUGAAAGCCCGGGGCUUAACUCCGGGUCUGCAUUCGAUACGGGCAGGCUAGAGUUCGGUAGGGGAGAUCGGAAUUCCUGGUGUAGCGGUGAAAUGCGCAGAUAUCAGGAGGAACACCGGUGGCGAAGGCGGGAUCCUGGGCCAGUACUGACGCUGAGGAGCGAAAGCGUGGGGAGCAAACAGG